UACGGAGGAGGCAAGCGUUAUCCGGAAUUAUUGGGCGUAAAGCGUCCGUAGAUGGCCGUUUCAAGUCUGCUGUCAAAGACCGGGGCUUAACCCCAGAAAGGCGGUGGAAACUGAACAGCUAGAGAGAGGUAGGGGUAGAGGGAAUUCCCAGUGUAGCGGUGAAAUGCGUAGAUAUUGGGAAGAACAUCAGUGGCGAAAGCGCUCUACUGGACCUUAUCUGACAUUGAGGGACGAAAGCUAGGGGAGCGAAUAGG
rnacentral:rRNA from 1 species